GACGAACGCUGGCGGCGUGCUUAACACAUGCAAGUCGAACGGAAAGGCCCUGCUUUUGUGGGGUGCUCGAGUGGCGAACGGGUGAGUAACACGUGAGUAACCUGCCCUUGACCUUGGGAUAACUUCAGGAAACUGGGGCUAAUACCGGAUAGGAGCUCCUGCUGCAUGGUGGGGGUUGGAAAGUUUCGGCGGUUGGGGAUGGACUCGCGGCUUAUCAGCUUGUUGGUGGGGUAGUGGCUUACCAAGGCUUUGACGGGUAGCCGGCCUGAGAGGGUGACCGGCCACAUUGGGACUGAGAUACGGCCCAGACUCCUACGGGAGGCAGCAGUGGGAAAUAUUGCACAAUGGGCGGAAGCCUGAUGCAGCAACGCCGCGUGCGGGAUGACGGCCUUCGGGUUGUAAACCGCUUUCGCCUGUGACGAAGCGUGAGUGACGGUAAUGGGUAAAGAAGCACCGGCUAACUACGUG
rnacentral:rRNA from 1 species